AGUUAGAAUUUCACUUUAGAGAGUAGAGUGUAAUCUCUCACUAUUUAUUUUAUAGGUAGGACUAAGAAUAAAUAUAAGAGAGAAAUCAUUCAAGAGUAGAAAAUUAUACUUUACCUUCUAAAGUACAAAUUUAAAAUUUAGAGGAUCGAAAUUCUUAUAAAA